UACGAAGGGGGCGAGCGUUGUUCGGAAUCACUGGGCGUAAAGGGCGCGUAGGCGGCCCUCCUUGUCGCGUGUGAAAGCCCCGGGCUCAACCUGGGAACGGCGCGCGAGACGGGGGGGCUGGAGUUCGGGAGAGGAGCGUGGAAUUCCCAGUGUAGAGGUGAAAUUCGUAGAUAUUGGGAAGAACACCGGGUGGCGAAGGCGGCGCUCUGGACCGAGACUGACGCUGAGGCGCGAAAGCCAGGGGAGCAAACGGG
rnacentral:rRNA from 1 species